rnacentral:tRNA from 1 species
GGGAUUGUAGUUCAAUUGGUUAGAGCACCGACCUGUCAAGGUGGAAGCUGCGGAUUCAAGCCCCGUCAUUCCCG